rnacentral:lncRNA from 1 species
UGCAAUCUGACCACAGCGUCAAGUCCCUGUGGUGUUUUCUUCAGAAGAAAAAUCAUUUGGUUUUUGUCCCUGCAGCUGAAGUUUGUUGUUUAUUCAACAUCAUCUGAAAAAAAAAACAGUGUCAGAUAGCAUGCAUGAUUGAUACGUAGAUGAGAUCCAAUGAUGCAUGUAAGAGGAUACAUCAUACAAGUAUACACAUAUGACAGUUAAGUCCUUAUCAUGCUGUGUGAUCUCUUUGUAAUGGAGCUGUCUGUAACUCAACAUCAUAGGCACUGUACAUCGUAUAUGCAACAAAACUAACAGUCAAUUUUCAGAAACAUGAAACAAGGACAUAUAUAUGUGUACUUAGUGAUGGCUAAUGGCUUGCUAAAUUUCUGUAUACAAGAAAAAAUAUAUGUGCAAUUUGUCGCAGAAUAUUUCAAUGCCAACAAAGGGGCAUAUUAGGCAGGAAGUCUCAGCUUUUUUUAUUUGUGAGGACUAGGAACCAACAGGAAAAGGCAGACCGUCAACCACAAAGCGAUGAUGAUAUUUGGUAGUUGGAUUGGUAUACCGUCCGGUAUCAGUGUUGCUCAAAAUUUCUUCACACUGAUCAUUAGAUGGCAUAGGGGGUGGGGUGAUCGUUAAUUUGGCGAAUGAUAUAUUUGUAAACACAAAUGACAUAUUUACAAAUAAAAAUAAUUUAUAAAUAAAAUUUUUAUAUACGUGUUCUUAGCAAUCUAAUAGUCAAGGCUAGAAAACAAAAUACAAUAAAAACCUCAAAAAAUUACUUCAAAUUUAAGAUUAAAAAUUUAAAUUUUAGCUAGUAAGCAGAAGUAAAAGGAUGUGGCUAAUAGAGUAUUAUGGAUAAAUGCUAAUUGAUGAAUUCAUGGGACCGGUUGACCCACUUUAGUUUCAUGACAAAAUGUUGUUUCCCCUCUUAUUGCUAAUAUUUAUUGUGAAAAUGUGCAUCCAGUCAAAAACUCAAAACAGGGCGAGUAAACGAGGAAAACACUUUUAAUCCCUCGAGGAAACAUCACAUCAAAAUAGUGGUGAAAAAGAAUAGGAUAUAUUAAUGUGUGUUAUAUCACUCCACAAAUAAGUAAGUAUAAAUUUGAUAUAUAUAAGUUAAAGGAAUAACUAUGAGCACAUGUAUAUUAGUUAAGAGUUUGUUUUGUUCGUUUUGUUACCAUUUGUGCAGAUCGAAUAUAAACAUAUUAAUCUAUCUUGUCAAUCCUUUUAAAAUUUAUUUAUAACUACUCUUUUCGUUCUGAACUAUAAAAUAUUUUGUUUUUUUUCUAGAUACAUCUAUGAACCAAUCUAUGUUUGAUAUAUAUCCAGAUUCAUUAGUAGUUAUAUAGUUCUAUGGAAACUAAAACAUGUUAUAUAAAAUAAAAGCUAAUAUUUAGACAGUAUGCAAAAGUGAGAAAACGUCCCCUCGAGGUCUCGAGUAAUUUGAUUCAGAUUUACCAACAAACCAUCGUUACCUUACAUCAUGACUUCUUGCAUCUCGAUGAUUAACAGAAACUGAAAUCUCUUCAUGGCAUAUUUGCAGAUGAAGAGUACACACAACAAAUCCUUUUUGGCCUAGAGUGUAUUCAUAUUUAUUAUCCAAGCGACAAUCAAUAUGAAAUGCCAUGAUUUAAGAAUGCAGGUUGGCCAUACAUGGAAGGUGGUUUUUGUGUGUGAAUCGGGGGUGAGUUGAUGGAUCUAUGCAUGCCCUUUAAGGGCCCCUUUGAAUCACGGUAAUAACGGUAAUAAGAAAACGGAUGAAAAGAAAAAACAUAAGAUUCUGAUAAAAAUAUAUGUGUAAAACAGAUAAUUGCAAAACAUAGAAAUGACGUAGAAAUGAUCGUUUAAUUGGACCGCAGGAAAAACACAUAAAUUUAAAGAGGCGUUAGAGUUAUGAGAAGAAAAACAUGAGGUAGGACCUCAUGUUUAUUUUCCUCCAAAAUCUCUAUAGGAUUGAUCAAUCCAUAAGCAUUUCAAAGAAAAUGAUAGGAUGUAAUUCUUUAUUUUAAAGGCUUUAACAGAAAUUUUCUAUAAAAUUAAAAUCAGCUAAACUUUCUAUGUUUUUUCUACGGAUCAAAUGGCUAACUGGACCACCCCAAGGUAUUCAUGAGAUUUUCUUCCGUGUGGCUCGCUUUGGCCGUUGCAUGUGACGAGUGUGUGAUGGACCACAUGGGGAUCAUGUCAUCAUGAUGUGAGAGUGAGAGUUAGUGGACAGGGUGAUGUUGGCAUUUGUGAGGAUCUGACAAAGGUUAGUAAAAAAGCAGCCUGUGAUUCCGAUGAAAUGAUGUCCUUUGUGAGUGCACUCACAGGAAAAAAAUACUAUAGAUUUGGAAGAACAUCUAGGGUUUAUCAUUAGCCUGGGGAUGUUUGCUAACUAAAUAAUUAAUGGGGAGCUCUCAUGUGGUGAUCUCUCAAUGUUGCCCCUGGCUAAGAUAAUAAUUUGUGGGGAGCUCUCAUAUGCUAAGGCAGGGUAAAAAGGAGCUUUCUUCCAGUUAACUAAUCCAAAAGUCCAUCCUCUUUGCUCUCAAAAGUAAACAAGGAAGUUACCUUAACACGUUAGCUUUCUAUAAUCCUCGGAUGAACAUCUUGACUAGGAGUAUACUUAUCUGUACACAUUGAGAGUAAAUUUCAUUGCUGUGGUUUAAAGAUAUUACCAACUUCACAUAAUCUUUUCUUUCAAAAUACAAAGGUGUUUUUAAACAUUUUUCUGGAAUAACUUUGCAUUUGUCAAGAGUGGAAGUGCGUUGUUCUUGAGACGUGGUACUUGUUAACCUCCCAAUUAUAUAUUUACCCGGUUCCUAUCUUCUUCAUUCCCUAUUAAUUACCAAAUACCAGAUUCUCUGAGAACUUUUCUUCUUAAAAGAGAACAAUGAUCAAUGAUACAUCAACACAAAACCUUCCCAAAAGAAGUUAAAGAUCUAGCUAAUGGCACCAUUAAAAAAGUAUUAUUAAACAAAGAAGAAGCAUCAGAUGCAUACCUGGUGGAGACAAGCAGAUCUCCGAGAAUAUUUAGUGUAAGCAGCUGCAAGAUUACGCAUUGAUCGAUCCCCUCCGAGCCUUAAGCGACGGUUAAAUUCCACAUGAGCUGCUUAGCUGCACUGCACUGCACUGCUCUUCCGUACACACAAGCCCAAGCUGUCCAUCUUUAAUUUAUCCUUGGACACACGCGUACAAUAUACGUGUGCGUGACUACGUGGUCGGUCACAUUGUCACAUCUCUCGCUUGGUCACAUGCAUGCCGUCCAUUUCUGCAAAGCUAAAAAAUCCAAGGGAAUCGACAAACCCACCAUCAGAUUAGCCCGUUGCAUUUGGGCAGCUUCCUGCAGGCCGGAGAUGCCGCUGAUCUCUUCUUCUAGCUGCAGGCGUCUGGCCUUGUUGGUCACUGCAUAUAUGGCUUUUGGAGAAAGGAGAGUGGUCACUGGGGAUG